GACGAACGCUGGCGGCGUGUCUAAUACAUGCAAGUCGAACGAAGCUGUUUUAACUGGUGCUUGCACCGACUUAAACAACUGAGUGGCGAACGGGUGAGUAACACGUGGGUAACCUGCCCCAAAGCGGGGGAUAACAUUUGGAAACAGAUGCUAAUACCGCAUAACCACAGAAACCAAAUGGUUUCUGUGUCAAAGGUGGUUUCGGCUAUCACUUUGGGAUGGACCCGCGGCGUAUUAGCUAGUUGGUAAGGUAAUGGCUUACCAAGUCAAUGAUACGUAGCCGAACUGAGAGGUUGAUCGGCCACAUUGGGACUGAGACACGGCCCAAACUCCUACGGGAGGCAGCAGUAGGGAAUCUUCCACAAUGGACGAAAGUCUGAUGGAGCAACGCCGCGUGAGUGAAGAAGGUUUUCGGAUCGUAAAACUCUGUUGUCAGAGAAGAACGUGUGCGAGAGUAACUGUUCGUGCAGUGACGGUAUCUGGCCAGAAAGCCACGGCUAACUACGUGCCAGCCGCCGCCGUAA
rnacentral:rRNA from 1 species